UACAGAGGUGGCAAGCGUUGUUCGGAAUUACUGGGCGUAAAGGGCGCGUAGGCGGCCAUCUAAGUCAGACGUGAAAUCCCUCGGCUUAACCGGGGAACUGCGUCUGAUACUGGAUGGCUUGAGGUUGGGAGAGGGAUGCGGAAUUCCAGGUGUAGCGGUGAAAUGUGUAGAGAUCGGGAGGAACACCGGUGGCGAAGGCGGGUCUCUGGACAGUUCCUGACGCUGAGGCACGAAGGUCAGGGGAGCAAACGGG
rnacentral:rRNA from 1 species